UAGCUCAGUUGGUAGAGCAUGGUGUUUGCAACACCAGGGUUUUGGGUUCGAUUCCCAU
rfam:Salmo salar isolate Sally breed double haploid chromosome ssa04, whole genome shotgun sequence.